AGUGAACGCUGGCGGUAGGCCUAACACAUGCAAGUCGAACGGCAGCACAGGAGAGCUUGCUCUCUGGGUGGCGAGUGGCGGACGGGUGAGGAAUACAUCGGAAUCUACUUUUUCGUGGGGGAUAACGUAGGGAAACUUACGCUAAUACCGCAUAUGACCUACGGGUGAAAGCAGGGGAUCUUCGGACCUUGCGCGACGGAAUGAGCCGAUGUCGGAUUAGCUAGUUGGCGGUGUAAAGGCCCACCAAGGCGACGAUCCGUAGCUGGUCUGAGAGGAUGAUCAGCCACACUGGAACUGAGACACGGUCCAGACUCCUACGGGAGGCAGCAGUAGGGAAUAUUGGACAAUGGGCGCAAGCCUGAUCCAGCCAUACCGCGUGGGUGAAGAAGGCCUUCGGGUUGUAAAGCCCUUUUGUUGGGAAAGAAAUCCAGCUGGUUAAUACCCGGUUGGGAUGACGGUACCCAAAGAAUAAGCACCGGCUAACUUCGUGCCAGCCGCCGCAGUAA
rnacentral:rRNA from 1 species